rnacentral:rRNA from 1 species
ACGGGGGCAGCAGUGGGGAAUAUUGCACAAUGGGGGAAACCCUGAUGCAGCGACGCCGCGUGAGUGAAGAAGUAUUUCGGUAUGUAAAGCUCUAUCAGCAAGGAAGAAAAUGACGGUACUUGACUAAGAAGCCCCGGCUAACUACGUGCCAGCAGCCGCGGUAAUACGUAGGGGGCAAGCGUUAUCCGGAUUUACUGGGUGUAAAGGGAGCGUAGACGGUAAGGCAAGUCUGAAGUGAAAUGCAGGGGCUCAACCCCUGAACUGCUUUGGAAACUGUCAAACUAGAGUGCAGGAGAGGUAAGUGGAAUUCCUAGUGUAGCGGUGAAAUGCGUAGAUAUUAGGAGGAACACCAGUGGCGAAGGCGGCUUACUGGACUGUAACUGACGUUGAGGCUCGAAAGCGUGGGGAGCAAACAGGAUUAGAUACCCUGGUA